rnacentral:rRNA from 1 species
UAUCUUAGUGGCGGACGGGUGAGUAACGCGUGGGUAACCUGCCUUAUACAGGGGGAUAACACUUAGAAAUAGGUGCUAAUACCGCAUAAGCGCACGGGGCUGCAUGGCCCAGUGUGAAAAACUCCGGUGGUAUAAGAUGGACCCGCGUCUGAUUAGCUUGUUGGCGGGGUAACGGCCCACCAAGGCGACGAUCAGUAGCCGGCCUGAGAGGGUGGACGGCCACAUUGGGACUGAGACACGGCCCAAACUCCUACGGGAGGCAGCAG